GCGCAACCCUCCGCCUGUGUGUUACAAGUGUCACACGGAACUGCCGGUCAUAAACCGGAGGAAGGUGGGGAUGACGUCAAGUCAGCAUGGCCUUUAUAUCCUGGGCUACACACACGCUACAAUGGGAAGGGACAAUAGGUUGCGAAGCCGCGAGGCGGAGCCAAUCCAGCAAAACUUCCCUCAGUUCAGAUUGCAGGCUGCAACUCGCCUGCAUGAAGUUGGAGUUGCUAGUAAACGCAGGUCAGCCAUACUGCGUUGAAUACGUUCCCGGGGCUU
rnacentral:rRNA from 1 species